GACGAACGCUGGCGGCGUGCUUAACACAUGCAAGUCGAACGGAAAGGCCCUGCUUGCCGGGUACUCGAGUGGCGAACGGGUGAGUAACACGUGGGUGAUCUGCCCUGCACUUCGGGAUAAGCCUGGGCAACUGGGUCUAAUACCGGAUAGGAGCCAUUUUUAGUGUGAUGGUUGGAAAGUUUUUUCGGUGUAGGAUGAGCUCGCGGCCUAUCAGCUUGUUGGUGGGGUAAUGGCCUACCAAGGCGGCGACGGGUAGCCGGCCUGAGAGGGUGGACGGCCACAUUGGGACUGAGAUACGGCCCAGACUCCUACGGGAGGCAGCAGUGGGGAAUAUUGCACAAUGGGCGCAAGCCUGAUGCAGCGACGCCGCGUGGGGGAUGACGGCCUUCGGGUUGGAAACUCCUUUCGCUAGGGACGAAGCUUUUUGUGACGGUACCUAGAUAAGAAGCACCGGCUAACUACGUG
rnacentral:rRNA from 1 species